GGGAGGAAGAAAGAAUUGCACGGCCCUGGACCUGUGAGUGAAGAGUUAGCUUCAGCUAGCAAGCCUGAUAUACCUGAGCGAGGGGACGACAGCACAGAGGCUUCUGCCAGUAACACUGAGCACCUGACUGGUUAGAGGAGCAAGUGGACAAGCAGAUCCUGGGGCACAGCACAGGGAGAGCACCGAUUCCCCAAGAAAAUGCCAUUGUGCACCAUAGGGGGUACACUCUGCAACUUUCAAGCCCGCUUGUGCCUUAGCUCACACCUACGAC